GAGAGAGAGAGGGAGAGAGAGGGAGAGAGGGAGGAAGAGAAGAGAGAGAGAGGGGAGGGAGAGAGAUAGAGAGAGAGGGGAGGAAGAGAGGAGAAAGAGAGGUGAGGAGGGGAGGAGAAAGAGAGACAGCAGCUGGAGAGAGACUGGAGAGAGACUGGAGAGAGACUGGAGAGAGACUGGAGAGAGACUGGAGAGAGACAGCAGCUGGAGAAAGACUGGAGAGAGACUGGAGAGAGACUGGAGAGAGACUGGAGAAAGACUGGAGAGAGACUGGAGAGAGACUGGAGAGAGACUGGAGAGAGACUGGAGAGAGACAGCAGCUGGAGAGAGACUGGAGAGAGACUGGAGAGAGACUGGAGAGAGACUGGAGAGAGACUGGAGAGAGACAGCAGCUGGAGAGAGACUGGAGAAAGACUGGAGAGAGACUGGAGAGAGACUGGAGAGAGACUGGAGAGAGACAGGAGAGAGACUGGAGAGAGACUGGAGAGAGACAGGAGAGAGACUGGAGAGAGACUGGAGAGAGACUGGAGAGAGACUGGAGAGAGACUGGAGAGAGACAGCAGCUGGAGAGAGACUGGAGAAAGACUGGAGAGAGACUGGAGAAAGACUGGAGAGAGACUGGAGAAAGACUGGAGAGAGACUGGAGAAAGACUGGAGAGAGACUGGAGAGAGACUGGAGAGAGACUGGAGAGAGACUGGAGAGAGACUGGAGAGAGACAGAGGAAAAAAUGCCAUCAGGGAGACAUGAGAGGACCAGAGAGCAGAGCAACACUGAUGCCACUCACACCACACAUUCCACUAGGACCUGUGUGUGUGUGUGUGUGUGUGUGUGUGUGUGUGUGUGUGUGUGUGUGUGUGUGUGUGUGUGUGUGUGUGUGUGUGUGUGCCCUGUAUUCUCUGUAGCAGUAAGAGAUGACUGUGUUAGUGAGUUAGUGAACAACACACCUGCUGUACCAAACACUGUAAAGGACAACACGGUAACAGCAGUCUGUCAGGACAACACGGUAACAGCAGUCUGUAAAGGACAACACGGUAACAGCAGUCUGUCAGGACAACACGGUAACAGCAGUCUGUAAAGGACAACACGGUAACAGCAGUCUGUCAGGACAACACGGUAACAGCAGUCUGUCAGGACAACACGGUAACAGCAGUCUGUCAGGACAACACGGUAACAGCAGUCUGUUCUGAUGCUCUGCUUGUGUCUAGAACACAUAUAAAUUCCUUUGCGUUUGUACUGAGUGUCUGAAUAUAUGUUUGUCAGUACUAUCCUACGUAUACUAGUAAACACAAACAGGAUAUUGAAUAUGACUGUUGUAUGAAGACUUUGUAGUGAGGACCUGCAGGGAGGGUAAUAUACUACCACAGAGCAAACUGGCCUAUUAUAUUCUGAUACAUCUCUUCAUUUUUAGAAAGAUGGACUGAUUGACUCGACAGCCCUUCACAACAUCGAAGGUUUUCAGAUUUCUAAUUAUUAAACCUAUAAACAUAUCUGUGGUUUAAUUAUUGGUUUGUUUCUGAAAGUUAGCCGGCUAAACUCAUUGAUCCUGCUUUGUAGUGUUACCCACCCCUCCCUCUGAUAUCUGUCGUGAUGGUUAAAACCAUGUGAUUUAAACACAUAUCUUUAUUUCUUUUAACUGUAAUGACAUAUGUUUCAAUAAAGUUAUUUCACCUUU
rnacentral:lncRNA from 1 species